GCCGACGUGGCUUAGUGGUAGAGCAUUCCCUUGGUAAGGGAAAGGUCAUGGGUUCGAUUCCCGUCGUCGGCU
rnacentral:tRNA from 1 species